GUAGGUGGUUUGUCGCGUUGUUCGUGAAAUCUCACGGCUUAACUGUGAGCGUGCGGGCGAUACGGGCAGACUAGAGUACUGCAGGGGAGACUGGAAUUCCUGGUGUAGCGGUGGAAUGCGCAGAUAUCAGGAGGAACACCGGUGGCGAAGGCGGGUCUCUGGGCAGUAACUGACGCUGAGGAGCGAAAGCGUGGGGAGCGAACAGGAUUAGAUACCCUGGUAGUCCACGCCGUAAACGGUGGGUACUAGGUGUGGGUUUCCUUCCUUGGGAUCCGUGCCGUAGCUAACGCAUUAAGUACCCCGCCUGGGGAGUACGGCCGCAAGGCUAAAACUCAAAGGAAUCGACGGGGGCCCGCACAAGCGGCGGAGCAUGUGGAUUAAUUCGAUGCAACGCGAAGAACCUUACCUGGGUUUGACAUGCACAGGACGCGUCUAGAGAUAGGCGUUCCCUUGUGGCCUGUGUGCAGGUGGUGCAUGGCUGUCGUCAGCUCGUGUCGUGAGAUGUUGGGUUAAGUCCCGCAACGAGCGCAACCCUUGUCUCAUGUUGCCAGCGGGUAAUGCCGGGGACUCGUGAGAGACUGCCGGGGUCAACUCGGAGGAAGGUGGGGAUGACGUCAAGUCAUCAUGCCCCUUAUGUCCAGGGCUUCACACAUGCUACAAUGGCCGGUACAAAGGGCUGCGAUGCCGUAAGGUUAAGCGAAUCCUUUUAAAGCCGGUCUCAGUUCGGAUUGGGGUCUGCAACUCGACCCCAUGAAGUCGGAGUCGCUAGUAAUCGC
rnacentral:rRNA from 1 species